rnacentral:lncRNA from 1 species
GAGGCAGAGGCAGAGGAGGCAGAGGCAGAGGAGGCAGAGGCAGAGGCAGAGGAGGCAGAGGCAGAGGAGGCAGAGGCAGAGGAGGCAGAGGCAGAGGCAGAGGAGGCAGAGGCAGAGGAGGCAGAGGCAGAGAGGCAGAGGCAGAGGAGGCAGAGGCAGAAGCAGAGGCAGAGGCAGAGGCAGAGGCAGAGGCAGAGGCAGAGGCAGAGGCAGAGGCAGAGGCAGAGGCAG